CUUUAUUGGAGAGUUUGAUCCUGGCUCAGGAUGAACGCUGGCGGCGUGCCUAAUACAUGCAAGUCGAGCGAAUGGAUUAAGAGCUGGCUCUUAUGAAGUUAGC
rnacentral:rRNA from 1 species